rnacentral:tRNA from 1 species
GGGAAUGUAGCUCAGUGGUAGAGCACUUGCUUAGCAUGUGUGAGGCUGUGGGUUCAAUCCCCAGUCCCC